GCGCGCGGCAGCGGCGGGAGCGAGCGGCAGCUGUCGGGCCACCGAGGUCCAAGCUGCACUUGCUGCCCCACUGAGGACGAGGCGGCAGCAGGAGUUGUGACCCUGUCGCUGAGGAGCCAGGCUAGAGGCACGCAGAGCUGACCUGCCUGGCGUCUGUAGCCCGGUCCUUUCUCCUUCCCAUUGUGCUGGAACCCUAAAAAAGAAAGAAUAAAGUAACAACAGGAACAAAGGAAAGGAUUAAAAGUGUUUUAAAACCUCAACUGGGUUCUCUUGGUUACAAACUCCUCCCCAUUUGGUGCUACAACAAUGAGUGGGAAAUCCCUUCUCUUAAAGGUCAUUCUUUUGGGUGAUGGUGGAGUUGGAAAAAGCUCACUUAUGAACCGUUAUGUAACCAAUAAGUUCGAUUCCCAGGCUUUUCAUACUAUAGGGGUAGAAUUCUUAAAUCGAGAUCUGGAGGUAGAUGGACGCUUUGUAACACUUCAGAUCUGGGACACUGCUGGGCAGGAGCGUUUCAAGAGCCUUAGAACACCUUUCUACAGGGGAGCGGACUGCUGCCUGUUGACCUUCAGUGUGGAUGACCGACAGAGCUUUGAGAACCUUGGUAACUGGCAAAAAGAAUUUAUCUACUAUGCUGAUGUGAAGGACCCUGAGCAUUUCCCCUUUGUCGUUCUGGGUAACAAGGUAGACAAAGAGGAUAGGCAAGUGACAACUGAGGAGGCAAAAGCCUGGUGCAUGGAGAAUGGGAAUUACCCUUAUCUAGAAACAAGUGCCAAAGAUGAUACUAAUGUGACCGUGGCCUUUGAAGAAGCUGUCAGGCAGGUAUUAGCUGUAGAGGAACAGCUGGAACAUUGCAUGUUAGGUAACACCAUUGAUUUGAACAGUGGCUCAAAGGCAGGUUCUUCAUGCUGUUAAAUGUAGGGAAUCUUAGUAAGUAUGUACCACGUUGGUCAGUCAGUAGUAUAAGAAUUACUGUGCCUCUCUGGGAGUGUGCACACACACACAUAUAAGAAGGUAAAAGAUAAGGCUCUAUUUUGAAACAGAGCCUAUCAAAUUGAAGUUGUAGAGUGGUUUUUAAAAAAAAGCUUUAUUGAGCCAAGUGUAUUUUGUGUGAUUUCUGCUAUUUUCCCUUUGUGACUCAGGACAUUUCAGAAACUUUUAGUCCUGAGAGAUUUAAAUGUUUUAAAAUCACAGUUUAAACCUAGAACCCAGCUGCAUGAAGGAGUGAAAGGCUUAAAGCUUUCCAUUAACCAUCUAGCAAAUGCCACCAUCAGACUCUUGCCAAGCAGUUUCUGACAUUUCUGCCAAAGGAAAAAGUAAGAAUCCGAGCUGUAUUACAAUAAAGGUGGUGAUGGUCACAUAAUGUAGAAGUCUAAAAAUGCACACUGACUUGUUCAAAUCUUUAUGUAUCAUUUACUCUCAUCUGAACUAAAAAGUACCAUCUCAAUAAGGGUUACUCUAAUGACACUGGAGGUUGAUUACAGUCCUUGUGUUUGAUGUCACAGGACACUAGUGAAUGGAUUAUGCUUAAAUAUGCCAACUGCCUUUGCAAAUAAAUGGUUGGUCUGCUUUUCCUUCGUAAGUCUACUGUUGCUUCAUAGAGAUGUUGCUUCUUUGACAACUUCUUACCAAUUUAGCAAUGCUGCUUAGCACUUGGCCUUGGGUGCAGUGCUCUCUGCUUAAAAUUUAGAUGGUCCUGUGGUUCAUUAUGCUGGCUUCUGAAGGCUUCAGGAAAGGAUGAGAAAUAAAUGGGCUUUUCUUGCAAGGUUCCUCUACUCAUUUAUUGUAGGAGAAGGAUCUGAUUCUUUGGAUGUUUCACUGACUCUUCAGCUGGAAAAACUAGGACACUGAAACUCGUAAAAUAACAGAUUUUAACUUUAGGUUAGAAUGAAUUUCUCAUAAUUAGAUUUGCUCAAAAGUGGAAUAGUCUGCCUUAAUAGUGAGCUCCCUCCUGGUGAAAUUAUUCACUGAGUGACCUUCUGUUAAGAUAAUAUAUAAAGGAUUUCUGUACUGGCUACAUAUUUAAUAUAAGGUCCCUUCCAGUUCUAAGUUCUGAAUUCAUGAACUAUGUCAGUGCUGUGUUCUGGUCGGAUUUAUGUGAAAAUCACAGCUAAGACUAUGGAGAGGGCCUUAAAAAUUCCCAAGCCAUUCUGUGAUUAGCCUUUAACAACAACUAUUAUGAAAUGAACAUCCUAAAGACACCAUAGUCAAAACAAAAGUGGUUUGACAAUUUCUGAACAACAUGACUGCCAAUUACAUGCUACUGUAUCAUGAGUGUGCAGUCUGGUUCUUAUUGGUUGAUUUGCAUAGUUUUUAAUCUGUGCUUUAAAAUAAGUAUGAUAAAAACUGUGACCCAGUGCAGAGAGGGACAAUUAGAAAUGGUCCCCCAAAGAGAUGUAGGCCAAGGAUGAGUCGGGAGCUUUCACAGGAAUACAGCCUAGAAUUCUCCAUUGUAUCCACAUAUGGAAUCAGCCUUACAUGUGGGACCUUACGUGCUUUAAGAACUCUGGGACUUUUGGGCCACAUAGACGAGAGGAGGACAGUAUUUCAACCUAGACCUACUCAGUAUUUCCAAUUAUUGUAUAGUCCUGACCCUAUUGUCCAAUUAGUUUUGAUUCCAGAAGUCAAAACCAGAACUGGGACCCCACAGCACUUAAAUAUUGGUUCCUAUCCUGCCUAUGCCUAUAGCCAACCACACUGGUUUCAAAGUUCUACAGUCAUUUUGCUACAGUCAUGUUAGGGUGAAAAUAUGUAUAUCAGAAUUAAUAAAUGAUAAUUAUUUUUAAGUGCAUGAGACCUGGGGCCUUCUCUUUCUACUUGCACUCUGCUUAUAAUAGUUUCUAUCUGUAGAUCUCAGGCCUUCAUAAAAACCUCCACAAGCUCAUAAUAGUAUUUGUCUCUGUAGAAUGGCACGUGAUUGAGUAAAAGUAAAUACACAUGGGUAUUCAAUUCAUAGGCAUCCUGUCCUUCAAGACAAAUGGCAAUUUUAUUGGCAGGUAAACAGAAGCCCCUUUCUUCUUAGCCAUACCUUUUUUUCCUGCCAGAAUACUUCACAAUAUUUUAAGGAAAACACUUAACAUUUUAGGUGACGAAACAGUGGCAUUUUGGUAACGCUCAGUAGGUGCUGAUGUAUAGUUUGGGUAAGACUAAAACACCAAAGGCUGACAUCGGUGAGUAGCAGGAACUGUGCAUAUAGGUUUAGAAACUGACUAUGUACCCUAGGAUGUGCUGUGCAAUAUUUUCAAUAGGUGUUUUUCAAUGAACACUAGAUUUUUGGAGUAAUAUAUUUCUAAUUAGAAGCAUACUGGUUUUCAAUGGUCCAUUAAAGCAUCAUAUAAAAUAUUUAUUUAUGGUAUUGUCCUGUAUUGGCUUUCAGGGGGCCUCAGAUUCCAUAUGUCUUCAGUGGAUUGAUGAAUUUCAGGUUUAUUUGUGCCUGCCUCAGCCAUCUCUACUUUAUCCUGAGUUCUUAAAGCUGGAUAGUCAAAGAGCAAGAUAAUUUCUCAUUCACAAAUGAUAUCUUCUCAUUGUGGAAAAGGAGCUUCUCUUUAUAAAUCACUAGUUCUAUUCAUGGAGCUAAUGUUCUCACCUACCAAA